rnacentral:lncRNA from 1 species
CCCGGAACUCCUGUUCAUUACCAACAGAAAAGUAAUCAUUUGGUUUACCAGAAACCUGUUUAGUGGUAGGUAUAGUUAAUGGAGAAAUUUGGUUUCCAUAUGUAUUAGAUAAUGAUUACCAGGUAAAAAUUCUUGACGUUGUAAAUUUUGUAUUGUGAAUGGAGUGAUUAGUGAAAGAUCGAAAAGAUACAAGAUCAAGUGAAACUAUUUCGAAAAGAUCACAUCAUUUACGACGGAUUAAUUACUAAUAAUUAUAUAUUUAAACACCUAAUUAAAAACAUAAUUUUCUAUACAAUCAUGCUUCAGAUAGCAUGAUCAUCACACAGGUUAAUAGGUUCACAACAAAUUAAGCAUCAAGCCAUCAAAGACUUCCUAACAAGGGAUAUGAUUGAUUAUAUAUACAGCAGAACCUAAAGCAGCAGCGGCAGCCGCAUCUCAAAGUUGAUCAGGCCAGAGAAAUGCCCCCAUGGCAAAUGCUCUCUUCUCAUCAACACUGCCCUGGAAGCUGAACCCGUACUCUUUCAGCAGCAUGUCCACCCUCCAUUCUUCCAUC